UACGUAGGGUGCAAGCGUUGUCCGGAAUUAUUGGGCGUAAAGAGCUCGUAGGCGGUCUGUUGCGUCGGCUGUGAAAACCCGGGGCUCAACUCCGGGCCUGCAGCCGAUACGGGCAGACUAGAGUUCGGCAGGGGAGACUGGAAUUCCUGGUGUAGCGGUGAAAUGCGCAGAUAUCAGGAGGAACACCGAUGGCGAAGGCAGGUCUCUGGGCAUUAACUGACGCUGAGGAGCGAAAGCAUGGGGAGCGAACAGG
rnacentral:rRNA from 1 species